AUGCUGACAUCCACUUUGUUACCUUUGCCUGAAGGUAGGUGCUUCCCUGGCCGCACGGAGCAGAGCAGAAAAUGCACCUGGAAGCAUCAAAGGUUUCAUAGUGGAAUUUCAUCAGACUCUGUGGCUGUCCCUUCUCAGUGUCUCAUUAGUGAAGAGGUGGCCUUUUUGAAGCUGGCUGCCAAGCAUCCUGCUGAUUUCAUUCCCUGCUGGUGUGGCUGGUUCUUGACAAGGAAGGGAGGCAAAACAAUCUGUGACCCAAAGUCCCUGUGA
rnacentral:lncRNA from 1 species